AAAAAAACUAAACUUUCAAUUCAAGACAAUUACAAAAGCACCGAAUUAACCCCAGAAAAAGGAGGGAAAAUAUAGCCCUUCAUGCAAAGACACCAACCUUUUCUCUAAUUUCAAACAAACAGCUCAAUUUCGGAAUCACAAUAAACUAGUUUAAGUUCCAAUUAACUGCAAAUAAGGCCUAUACAGAUCCAAUUCAUUGCAAAUAAACAAUAACAGAAACAAAUAGAAUUGGAAAAAAAAUAACAUAAAACCCUAGGGGAUUUUAGCACGUACGGAGCUCGGAGAUGAAGAGGAGA
rnacentral:misc_RNA from 1 species